AAGGGCCCGCUCUCUUACAAUUGGCCGUUUCCUACGUCUGACUUCCUGAGAUGGUGCCGCUCUAUCUCGGACAGGACGUGCCUCCCUACAUACCGCCUGAGGAUGUUGGAUGACUACUGUUGCAGGCUUCCUUUAGAGCCUCAGCCUUUUAAACCAUGUUUCAUACCAAAAGGGUGAAUUUGGCUUUGGAUGCCGUCCAGAAGCAUGAUUUUGCCAUUGGAAAGAUUCUGUGGAUUGCCUUGCCCCUGGGUUGGUGUGGACAUCUGGCUCAGGACUGCUGGUGAACAUGGCGGACACUGCCACAUACUAGGGUAAAAUUGUACUCAAGAAUGAAGUGACUAUUAAAGCACCAAGCAUUCGACUGAACCUGGAUUUCAGGCUUGAGAUGGUGACUGUUGCAGUGGACAGGACUGCCUUGUUCUGGCUGUCAUGUCAACACCUGGUUUUCCUGAUCCAGUGGUUAGUGAUGCUUCUGGAUUGACAUCAGCCUUGCAUUUGACUGUCAAGCAACUAGAGACUGCAAUCUUAAAGGGUUCUGCUCCUCUUACUAGCCUGCGCAUGUGCUGGGAGCAGCAAAUGUAUGCAGCUAUUAAUGUUUUAGUAAGCCAGUGAUCUGAUAUGACUCGUGCAAGAAAGUGGUUUUGGCAACACCCCUCCCAUCAGACCUGUAAAGAGAACUUGUUCCCUGGCUCCUCAGUGUAAACAUGCAGUUUAAUGUUGCCUACAGUCAAUCACUGGUUGUGGCCCCCGUGUGUGCAUGCUGUCCCAGUGUAACUAAACUGAUGCCACAGGAAGGGCCUGUGACCAGUUUCAUACAUCACUCUUUAUAAGAGCAGUGCUUACAAGCACAAGAGUACCUCCUAGUAAACAUAAAUUGGUCAUGUUACACAAUCUGACACUGAUGCCAAAGGCUUACAAAUGCUGCUAGCUGCAUGCAUGUUCUGUUUCUAUACACCCUCAUACAAAAUUGACUUGUAUAAGCUAAUAAACCAGAUCAGAAUUGUGA